rnacentral:miRNA from 1 species
CACAACCUACUUGAAUAAGGUAG